rnacentral:rRNA from 1 species
CGACACGUACGACAUCCCGUGGGUGGAGAAGUACCGCCCCAGCCGCGUCGCCGAUGUCGUCGGCAACGCCGACGCCGUCAGCCGCCUCGAGGUCAUCGCCCGCGACGGCAACAUGCCCAACCUCAUCCUCUCCGGGCCUCCGGGGACCGGGAAGACGACGAGCAUCCUGGCGCUCGCCCACGAGAUGCUCGGGCCCAGCUACCGCGAGGGAGUGCUCGAGCUCAACGCCUCGGACGACAGGGGGCUUGAUGUGGUGCGGAACAAGAUCAAGAUGUUCGCGCAGAAGAAGGUCACACUGCCACCCGGACGGCACAAGAUCGUCAUACUGGACGAAGCUGACAGCAUGACAACAGGAGCACAGCAAGCACUGAGAAGAACCAUGGAGAUUUAUUCCAACACCACAAGAUUUGCUCUUGCAUGCAAUACUUCAUCUAAAAUCAUUGAACCCAUCCAAAGUCGCUGCGCUAUUGUCCGGUUCUCGAGGCUUUCAGAUCAGGAGAUCCUUGGCCGCCUUAUGGUCGUGGUGGCAGCUGAGAAGGUCCCUUAUGUGCCAGAAGGUCUUGAAGCCAUCAUUUUUACUGCUGAUGGUGACAUGAGGCAAGCUUUGAACAAUUUGCAAGCUACAGUCAGCGGGUUCCGUUUUGUUAAUCAAGAAAAUGUGUUCAAGGUAUGCGAUCAACCACAUCCCUUGCAUGUCAAGAGUAUGGUGAAAAAUGUACUCGAUGGGAAGUUUGAUGAGGCCUGCUCUGGCCUAAAGCAACUCUAUGAUUUGGGCUACUCUCCUACUGACAUCAUCACUACCCUCUUCCGUGUCAUCAAGAACUAUGACAUGGCUGAAUAUCUGAAGCUGGAACUGCUGAAGGAAACGGGAUUUGCGCACAUGAGGAUCUGUGAUGGCGUUGGGUCAUUCCUUCAGCUUUCUGGCCUUCUGGCCAAAUUUGCUCUGGUGAGAGAAACAGCAAAGGCCUAA